rnacentral:rRNA from 1 species
GAUGAACGCUAGCGAUAGGCUUAACACAUGCAAGUCGAGGGGCAGCACAAGGUAGCUUGCUAUCUGGGUGGCGACCGGCGCACGGGUGCGUAACGCGUACGCAACUUGCCCUAUACAGGAGGAUAACCCGUCGAAAGACGGACUAAUACUGCGUAUGCUCACAACUUGGCAUCAAGUGGUGAGGAAAGAAAUUCGGUAUAGGAUAGGCAUGCGUCCCAUUAGCUUGUUGGUGAGGUAACGGCUCACCAAGGCAACGAUGGGUAGGGGAACUGAGAGGUUUAUCCCCCACACUGGUACUGAGACACGUACCAGACUCCUACGGGAGGCAGCAGUGAGGAAUAUUGGUCAAUGGGCGCGAGCCUGAACCAGCCAAGUCGCGUGAAGGAUGACUGUCUUAUGGAUUGUAAACUUCUUUUAUACGGGAAUAACAAGAGUCACGUGUGACUCCCUGCAGGUACCGGAUGAAUAAGCAUCGGCUAACUCCGUG